GCUAUUUCCUGUGUCCGUGUAUCCCGUCUUUCUCAGCCCCACGAUCUUAAUCCCGAGAAUUAGCAGCCUUAGUGGUAAUUUUACACUAAUACGCCCACCCUCCAACUAAAACCUGCAAUUUAGUUUUGCAAGGAUACCCUGACCGCGCGUGUGCCUCGUGCGCCGCCGCCGUCAAACGCCAGGCGUCUCUGAUUUCCGUUGAGUUGAUUCCGACGUCCACCGGCAGGAAGCCCAUACAGGUAGCAUCCCUAUCCUGUAUAUGCUCCACUGCUUCCACGGUUGAUACGAACCUGACAAGCACCGGCAAGCCAUCCAUGCAUGUACUUCUCCGAUCUAGACCCAUCUCCUUUAUAAGACUAUAACCGGUGAUGCUUUGAUGCAGUGGCGACUACAAAUGAACAACUAGCAGGUAAUACCACUUGCAAUCAGAGACACGAGGGCACCAAAAGUUUGAGCAGUAUGGAUCCUAUGAAUAAUGUUCAAAUGCAUACGAGCCAGGGAGGAUUUAGUACGCCCAAAAAGAACACAAACAUACCUCUCUUCUCUUCGUCUUUUAUACCUGAAUGUGAUGAGCAUC